UGGGAGCUCUCCCAUAUGGUCGACCUGCAGGCGGCCGCGAAUUCACUAGUGAUUAGAGUUUGAUCAUGGCUCAGAACGAACGCUGGCGGCAUGCCUAACACAUGCAAGUCGAACGAACCCUUCGGGGUUAGUGGCGCACGGGUGCGUAACGCGUGGGAAUCUGCCCUUUGCUUCGGAAUAACAGUUAGAAAUGACUGCUAAUACCGGAUGAUGUCUUCGGACCAAAGAUUUAUCGGCAAAGGAUGAGCCCGCGUAGGAUUAGGUAGUUGGUGGGGUAAAGGCCUACCAAGCCGACGAUCCUUAGCUGGUCUGAGAGGAUGAUCAGCCACACUGGGACUGAGACACGGCCCAGACUCCUACGGGAGGCAGCAGUGGGGAAUAUUGGACAAUGGGCGAAAGCCUGAUCCAGCAAUGCCGCGUGAGUGAUGAAGGCCUUCGGGUCGUAAGCUCUUUUACCAGGGAUGAUAAUGACAGUACCUGGAGAAUAAGCUCGGGCUAACUCGUGCCAGCAGCCGCGGUAAAAUCGAAUUCCCGCGGCCGCCAUGGCGGCCGGAGCAUGCGAC
rnacentral:rRNA from 1 species